rnacentral:rRNA from 1 species
CGCGUAUCUCGUUCCGGGGCAUCCCGGGGUGAUGAAAGGUUUCGGCCGGUGGAGGAUGGGCAUGCGGCGCAUUAGGCAGACGGCGGGGUAACGGCCCACCGUACCGACGAUGCGUAGGGGUUCUGAGAGGAAGGUCCCCACACUGGUACUGAGACACGGACCAGACUCCUACGGGAGGCAGCAGUGAGGAAUAUUGGUCAAUGGGCGGGAGCCUGAACCAGCCAAGCCGCGUGAGGGAAGAAGGCCCUACGGGUCGUAAACCUCUUUUGCCGGGGAACAAAAGCGGGUAUGCAUACCCGUAUGAGUGUACCCGGAGAAAAAGCAUCGGCUAACUCCGUGCCAGCAGCCGCGGUAAUACGGAGGAUGCGAGCGUUAUCCGGAUUUAUUGGGUUUAAAGGGUGCGUAGGCGGCAUUUCAAGUCAGCGGUAAAAUUGCGGGGCUCAACCCCGUAUAGCCGUUGAGACUGAGGAGCUAGAGACGGCGAGAGGUACGCGGAAUGCGCAGUGUAGCGAUGAAAUGCAUAGAUAUUGCGCAGAACUCCGAUUGCGAAGGCAGCGUACUGGCGCCGGACU